GUGAGUAAACGCGCAAAGCGGAAGUAGGCAGUGCGGGAUGUGAUGUCACCCACGGGAAUGACGGUGCACAUUUGCUUAUCCGCUUUAUGUUUUUACUUUUAGCU
rnacentral:pre_miRNA from 1 species